UACGGAGGGGGCUAGCGUUGUUCGGAAUUACUGGGCGUAAAGCGCGCGUAGGCGGCUUUGUAAGUUAGAGGUGAAAGCCCGGAGCUCAACUCCGGAAUUGCCUUUAAGACUGCAUCGCUUGAAUCAUGGAGAGGUGAGUGGAAUUCCGAGUGUAGAGGUGAAAUUCGUAGAUAUUCGGAAGAACACCAGUGGCGAAGGCGACUCACUGGACAUGUAUUGACGCUGAGGUGCGAAAGCGUGGGGAGCAAACAGG
rnacentral:rRNA from 1 species